AGGACAUGAUCAAGGUACUGUAUCAUCCACAUGGAAGCUUCUUACCAGAGCUUUUCACUCCUUGCAAUUACCUGAUGACUAUAUAAAACAAAAUUUCUUUUCUGUUGGUGUCUUCUCUCUCUUAGGUGGAGCCAGAAACCCAGCAUGUCUUGUCUCUCUCAAAUUCUUGCCAACUCCAUUGCUCAUGAGGACAUGGAACAGUCAUCUUUUAAACUAGACUCCCUCCUGUUUGGCUACAGAGAAAGAGAGAAACUAGGAAACCACUAUCAUCUCUGCCUCCUGUGAGAAAUGAAGCCAAGUUCCAACUCUCCAGUUUAGAACAGGAGUAUCAAUAAGAUCUGUUCUUCCUAACAUUGCUCUCCCUUCAACAAGAAGAUAGGAACACAUAAUCGAUGUCCUAAUGUUUUUUGGGAAAAACUCUGCCCAGCCAUAGAAGUGCAGGGCUCCAUUAAGGACAAGAUAAAGAUUGAAUCUUGCAAAAACGAAGACUGGUUGGGCAUUUGUCUUUGUCAUGGUGUCAUUGGUGAAAGCACAAUCUGAGAGAGAAAGAAGUGGGAAGGUGGAGCUAAAAGCAAAGCCUUGCCCUCCCACCCCAAAAAAGGAAUU
rnacentral:lncRNA from 1 species